GGGUUGUGAGGUUAAGCGACUAAGCGUACACGGUGGAUGCCCUGGCAGUCAGAGGCGAUGAAGGACGUGCUAAUCUGCGAUAAGCGCCGGUAAGGUGAUAUGAACCGUUAUAACCGGCGAUUUCCGAAUGGGGAAACCCAGUGUGACUCGUCACACUAUCAUUAACUGAAUCCAUAGGUUAAUGAGGCGAACCGGGGGAACUGAAACAUCUAAGUACCCCGAGGAAAAGAAAUCAACCGAGAUUCCCCCAGUAGCGGCGAGCGAACGGGGAGGAGCCCAGAGCCUGAAUCAGCAUGUGUGUUAGUGGAAGCGUCUGGAAAGGCGCGCGAUACAGGGUGACAGCCCCGUACACAAAAGCGCAUAUGCUGUGAGCUCGAUGAGUAGGGCGGGACACGUGGUAUCCUGUCUGAAUAUGGGGGGACCAUCCUCCAAGGCUAAAUACUCCUGACUGACCGAUAGUGAACCAGUACCGUGAGGGAAAGGCGAAAAGAACCCCGGCGAGGGGAGUGAAAAAGAACCUGAAACCGUGUACGUACAAGCAGUGGGAGCACCCUUUGGGG
rnacentral:rRNA from 3 species